rnacentral:rRNA from 1 species
GAGUUUGAACCUGGCUCAGGAUAAACGCUGGCAGCGCACAUAAGACAUGCAAGUCGAACGGACUUAACUCAUUCUUUUAGAUUGAGAGCGGUUAGUGGCGGACUGGUGAGUAACACGUAAGCAACCUGCCUAUCAGAGGGGAAUAACAGUGAGAAAUCAUUGCUAAUACCGCAUAUGCUCACAGUAUCACAUGAUACAGUGAGGAAAGGAGCAAUCCGCUGAUAGAUGGGCUUGCGUCUGAUUAGUUAGUUGGUGGGGUAACGGCCUACCAAGACUACGAUCAGUAGCCGGACUGAGAGGUUGAACGGCCACAUUGGGACUGAGAUACGGCCCAGACUCCUACGGGAGGCAGCAGUCGGGAAUAUUGCGCAAUGGAGGAAACUCCGACGCAGUGACGCCGCGUAUAGGAAGAAGGUUUUCGGAUUGUAAACUAUUGUCAUUAGGGAAGAUAAAAGACUGUACCUAAGGAGGAAGCCCCGGCUAACUAUGUGCCAGCAGCCGCGGUAAUACAUAGGGGGCAAGCGUUAUCCGGAAUUAUUGGGUGUAAAGGGUGCGUAGACGGAAGAACAAGUUGGUUGUGAAAUCCCUCGGCUCAACUGAGGAACUGCAACCAAAACUAUUCUCCUUGAGUGUCGGAGAGGAAAGUGGAAUUCCUAGUGUAGCGGUGAAAUGCGUAGAUAUUAGGAGGAACACCAGUGGCGAAGGCGACUUUCUGGACGAUAACUGACGUUGAGGCA